ensembl:snRNA U6 U6 spliceosomal RNA
GUGCUUGCUUUGAAAGCACAUAUUCGAAAAUUGGAAUGAUACAGAGAAGAUUAGCAAGGCGUUUGCACCAGGGAGAUAUACAAAUUCAUUAAGUAUGUUUUCUUUGU